AUUGAACGCUGGCGGCAUGCUUUACACAUGCAAGUCGAACGGUAACAGGCCGCAAGGUGCUGACGAGUGGCGAACGGGUGAGUAAUGCAUCGGAACGUGCCCAGUCGUGGGGGAUAACGCAGCGAAAGCUGCGCUAAUACCGCAUACGAUCUCUGGAUGAAAGCGGGGGACCGAAAGGCCUCGCGCGAUUGGAGCGGCCGAUGUCAGAUUAGGUAGUUGGUGGGGUAAAGGCCCACCAAGCCAACGAUCUGUAGCUGGUCUGAGAGGACGACCAGCCACACUGGGACUGAGACACGGCCCAGACUCCUACGGGAGGCAGCAGUGGGGAAUUUUGGACAAUGGGCGCAAGCCUGAUUCAGCAAUGCCGCGUGCAGGAAGAAGGCCUUCGGGUUGUAAACUGCUCUUGUACGGAACGAAACGGUCCGGGUUAAUACCCUGGGCUAAUGACGGUACCGUAAGAAUAAGCACCGGCUAACUACGUGCCAGCAGCCGCAGUAACAC
rnacentral:rRNA from 1 species